GAUGAACGCUGGCUACAGGCUUAACACAUGCAAGUCGAGGGGAAACGACGGGGAAGCUUGCUUCCCCGGGCGUCGACCGGCGCACGGGUGAGUAACGCGUAUCCAACCUGCCUCUGACUGAGGGAUAACCCGUCGAAAGUCGGCCUAAUACCUCAUGGCAUCGUCUGCGGGCAUCCAACGACGAUUAAAGAUUUCAUCGGUCAGGGAUGGGGAUGCGUCUGAUUAGCUUGUCGGCGGGGUAACGGCCCACCAAGGCUACGAUCAGUAGGGGUUCUGAGAGGAAGGUCCCCCACAUUGGAACUGAGACACGGUCCAAACUCCUACGGGAGGCAGCAGUGAGGAAUAUUGGUCAAUGGGCGGGAGCCUGAACCAGCCAAGUAGCGUGCAGGAUGACGGCCCUAUGGGUUGUAAACUGCUUUUAUGCGGGGAUAAAGUGAGGGACGUGUCCUUCAUUGCAGGUACCGCAUGAAUAAGGACCGGCUAAUUCCGUG
rnacentral:rRNA from 1 species